rnacentral:rRNA from 1 species
GUCUAUGGCCAUGCCACCCUGAACAAGCCUGAUGCAUUAUGAUCUUGGAAGCUAAGUAGGGUCUGGCCUGGUUAGUGCUUGGAUGGGAGACCGCCUAGGAAGACCAGGUGCUGUAGGCA